AGAGUUACAGAAAAGGGAAACAGCUCCCAAAGAGACCUUGAAUAUACUUGACAGCAACACAGUGGUAAAUAAUAAAUGUUUUGCUCGUAUGUUUUUCUUUUCAGAUCCACCUUCAACUUAAGACAUUUGGUCUUUUUAUGAGAAGACAUGAAGAGAAUGUUCCAGAUUGUACUGGGGAUUCAUCUCAGAGCCUUUUGAUUGCUAGGCUAAGACACUAGGUUGGCAAUACCAAUGUUACAUAGGUAUUAAGACAAGAACAGGAAACAACACUUGAAAAGACUUUACAGAUGGC